ensembl:lncRNA
GUUUUGUCAUCCACCUGCUUCAAAGCUGUAAAACCAGCCGCAGCAAAGGCAAACCUACCCAGCUCCAAAAUCCAAACAAAGAAAUCUUAGUGGGCUGUUUACAUAUCAGUGGAGGGAUAUAUGGGCUUGUGCUGAUGUGGUGCCAGAAUGGUUGAAAGAUUUCAGUCCCUGCACAACGGAAGAGGGGGGAAAAAUCAAAGAACGGAGGGCUUGCGGGAGUGGCAGGGGAGAGAAAAAAAACACUGACGGAGAGGUGAGGAGCGCUGCAAUGGAGGACGGCUACUUCCUGUUCCUGCUGGAGUGACCCGCAGGUCUGAGGAGGAGCGAGGAGAGACAGAGCGAGAGAGAGGGGGAGAGAGAGUGAUCCUUACAGACUGUGGUCCUUCUGUUUCUCUGCAUAUACUUUAUCAUCCUUUGUUCCUGCUCAGGACCACCACAGAGCAGCUUAUAUCAGCAGCAGCAGCCAUGGCCAGCCGGUCACUGGGACAGACAGCGCUGCACAGCCAGCUGAUGGAGAGUUAACCGGUUGGAAGGGAUCCAGUGGGGCUCAGACAGGCUUGACAAGCAUAUUGGCUACAUGAUCCCAAACAGGACUAAUUAACACGGGUGUUACGAGAUCAUGACGAGUCAUCACUGGAGUCAUUGUGAACCUGCUGCUGCUAAAGACCUUUAGUCUACAGGUUAUAUAUCUGUCCUACAGAAACAAAAGAGGGGGCGAGCUGUUCAGGUCCUUUAACUGAACACAAUUUCAUUAUUUAAAUGACCAAUAAUAACUAACACCAGGGGGUUAGACACAUAGCAAGCUCACCUGUAAAUAGUAUGUAGACAUGUCAUUUAAAUAGCUAGUUACAUUUUGAUACAUAUUUAUGAGAUUUGUGAGAUAAAAUUGUUUAAAUAAUCUGGGAACUUUCUAAUCUGCUUUGUAUCUCAGCAUUUGUUUCCAUAUUUAAUGUCAGCUGAUAUUUUACUUCUUUUUCCUUUAUGCUGCUAUUCUAGGAUAGACAGUAGUGUAUCCUGCAACUAUUAGGGCCCUAUGAUUGCCAUGCCGAGGAAAAUACGAACAGAAUCAUUUUUUGAUUAUGAAUAUUUUUAUGCUUGGGACUAAUGCAGAACUGACUAGAUUUGUGCACUCCAAGAACAUUAACAAACACAGUGUUAACUGCAAAAAUCAGUGCAGACUCCUUGUUUGUUAUAUUAUUUAUUAAUUAAUUAAGAUUUUCCGAAGUUUUAUUUCCAAUUAUGUGUUCCAAGAAAUAUUAUUGUGCACCAUUGUGUAGGAUAUUUGUAUUUUGGCUGCAAAAACACGCACUCUUUAGUCACGGGUGUAUUUCACUCAUUUUAUAAUGAUGCGCUCCAUAGCUAUAGAGUUCUUUUUUUUUAUGUGCCAUCAUUCAUUACAUUUUACCUACCUCAACAGUUUGUGAAUAGUCAUUAUAUAUAACAAAACUAGAAGAGCAUGCAACAUUAUUAUAUGAUUAAAUGCUUAUUAACAUUAUUAUUACAGUCUUUUUGCCCAUGAUGUGAUUGUACUAAAUUCUCAGAAAUCAUACUGAUU